ensembl:lncRNA
CAGGCCUUGAGGUGGGGGAGGCAGGAAGGCCCCGGAGCCACCAGGGGCAGAGGAAAGGCUCGACCCCAGGGGUGGCCGAGGAGGCGAAGGGCUGUGGGGAAAAGGGACGUGGCUCCACUGCGGGGUUUCCGAUGGCGUCUGACACCUGUUCUCUCCCCUCAGUACAUGGGCUGCAUCGAGGUCCUCCGCUCCAUGCGCUCCCUGGACUUUAACACACGCACGCAGGUGACCAGGGAAAGCCAUCAACCGGCUCCACGAGGCCGUGCCUGGCGUCCGGGGAUCCUGGAAGAAAAAGGUGAGUUGAGGCUUGUGGUCUCUCGUGGGGCCGGUGGGGCACUUGGGAGCGCGGGGACGCUGUGGCCAUCCUGGGAGCCCCUCGGCGGGCCCCACCCAUGGCCGCCCUCGCUGUGCUCCGCCCCCAACUCAGGCCCCCAACAAGGCCCUGGCGUCUGUCCUGGGCAAGAGCAACCUUCGCUUCGCCGGCAUGAGCAUCUCCAUCCACAUCUCCACCGACGGCCUUCAGCCUCUCCGUGCCCGCCACGCGCCAGGUCAUCGCCAACCACCACAUGCCGUCCAUCUCCUUUGCAUCGGGCGGAGACACGGACAUGACGGAUUACGUGGCCUACGUCGCCAAGGACCCCAUCAACCAGAGAGGUGAGGCUCCCCGGGGAGGCUGGUGGGGGUCCCGUGGCCGGGGGGCAUGGCCGUGUGGCUUGGAGGCCGCAUGACCAAUGCCCCCACAGCCUGCCACAUCCUGGAGUGCUGUGAAGGCCUGGCCCAGAGCGUCAUCAGCACCGUCGGCCAAGCCUUCGAGCUGCGCUUCAAGCAGUACCUGCACAGCCCACCCAAGGUGGCACUGCCCCCAGAAAGGUAACAGACCCGCCUCCCCCAUGCCCUGGGGACGCCCCCAGCGACCUGCCCGGGUGCAGAGCCGGCUCCACCUCCUGCAGGCCUCGGCCUCCAUCCUGCCCUUGUCCCUCCCUCCCUGUCCCCGAGAAUGUGGCUCGGCCAGAGGAUCCUGUUUCCUCGGCUGUAACACCCGGGUGAACGCAUCCCCGCCCCCAGGACUGGGGAGGACUGAGCGAGCUGACUCCCCGGUGUGCCCGAGGCUGUCAGCCCUGCCGCUAUAACCAACAUCCCUCCUCCAGACGCACGGCCGGCUCAACGGCCUCUGUCUCACCGCAGAAGAUGUGUGUGGGGGGCGUGUCUGUGUGCUGGUAACGUUAUUCAUAGACGUUGAAGUGUGAAUGUCACGUGUCGCAAAAUAUGAUUCUCUGGAUGUUUCUCAAACACUUAACUUUGAUGAUUUAGAGGCUGAACGCCCAUUCUUAGCUCGUGGGACACACAGAUCUAGGCAGUGAGCUGGAUUUGGCCCUGGGCUGGGGUUUGCCAGCCGGCCUUGGAGAAGGAGGCAUUUAAGUCUAUUCAUCAUUAGAAAGUCACGUUCCUCCAGCGGUGGGAGGGCAGGUGCAGGCCCGUGAGCUCCCAGCCCUGCUGGUCACGCGUGCUCACGCUCACCCCUUUGUGCACAGGGACGGCG